rnacentral:tRNA from 1 species
GGAGGGUUAGCCUAAUUGGUAAGGCAGCGGACUUGAAAUCCGCCGUCGCGAAAAGCGACAUGGGGGUUCGAGUCCCUCACCCUCCG